rnacentral:rRNA from 1 species
AAAUGAAUUGACGGGGACCCGCACAAGCGGUGGAUGAUGUGGAUUAAUUCGAUGCAACGCGAAGAACCUUACCUACCCUUGACAUGUCCGGAAUCCCGAGGAGAUUUGGGAGUGCCCGAAAGGGAACCGGAACACAGGUGCUGCAUGGCUGUCGUCAGCUCGUGUCGUGAGAUGUUGGGUUAAGUCCCGCAACGAGCGCAACCCUUGUCAUUAGUUGCUACGAAAGGGCACUUUAAUGAGACUGCCGGUGACAAGCCGGAGGAAGGUGGGGAUGACGUCAAGUCCUCAUGGCCCUUAUGGGUAGGGCUUCACACGUCAUACAAUGGGUGGUACAGAGGGUUGCCAACCCGUGAGGGGGAGCCAAUCUCGGAAAGCCACUCGUAGUCCGGAUCGCAGUCUGCAACUCGACUGCGUGAAGUCGGAAUCGCUAGUAAUCGCGGAUCAGAAUGUCGCGGUGAAUACGUUCCCGGGUCUUGUACACACCGCCCGU